ACAGACACAGCGGCUCAAAGUGCUAGUUAUCACGAGCGAAGAAUGCGAGAACAGAAAACUCCAGAUGACACUAACCUUGACUCCUGCGUCGGACUGAAGUGGUGGCCGUCACGUGUCCAGGUAGCGACCGGCGUCCGAGCGCUCAGCUUCAUUGAUGACAAGCGAGCCAUUCUCCAGCACGCGGGAGUGGGAGCUGCUCGUUAUGGUUGC